AGUUUGAUCAUGGCUCAGAUUGAACGCUGGCGGAAUGCUUCACACAUGCAAGUCGAACGGCAGCACGGGGCAACCUGGUGGCGAGUGGCGAACGGGUGAGUAAUACAUCGGAACGUGCCCAAUCGUGGGGGAUAACGUAGCGAAAGUUACGCUAAUACCGCAUACGAUCUACGGAUGAAAGCGGGGGAUCGCAAGACCUCGCGCGAGUGGAGCGGCCGAUGUCAGAUUAGGUAGUUGGUGGGGUAAAGGCUCACCAAGCCAACGAUCUGUAGCUGGGUCUGAGAGGACGACCAGCCACACUGGAACUGAGACACGGUCCAGACUCCUACGGGAGGCAGCAGUGGGGAAUUUUGGACAAUGGGCGCAAGCCUGAUCCAGCCAUUCCGCGUGCAGGAUGAAGGCCUUCGGGUUGUAAACUGCUUUUGUACGAAACGAAACGGCGAGCUCUAAUACAGUUUGCUAAUGACGGUACCGUAAGAAUAAGCACCGGCUAACUACGUG
rnacentral:rRNA from 1 species